rnacentral:rRNA from 1 species
AUUGAACGCUGGCGGCAGGCCUAACACAUGCAAGUCGGACGGUAGCACAGAGGAGCUUGCUCCUUGGGUGACGAGUGGCGGACGGGUGAGUAAUGUCUGGGGAUCUGCCCGAUAGAGGGGGAUAACCACUGGAAACGGUGGCUAAUACCGCAUAACGUCGCAAGACCAAAGAGGGGGACCUUCGGGCCUCUCACUAUCGGAUGAACCCAGAUGGGAUUAGCUAGUAGGCGGGGUAAUGGCCCACCUAGGCGACGAUCUGUAGCUGGUCUGAGAGGACGACCAGCCACACUGGGACUGAGACACGGCCCAGACUCCUACGGGAGGCAGCAGUGGGGAAUAUUGCACAAUGGGCGCAAGCCUGAUGCAGCCAUGCCGCGUGUAUGAAGAAGGCCUUCGGGUUGUAAAGUACUUUCAGCGGGGAGGAAGGUGUUGAGGUUAAUAACCUCAGCAAUUGACGUUACCCGCAGAAGAAGCACCGGCUAACUCCGUGCCAGCAGCCGCAGUAA